UACAGAGGUCCCAAGCGUUGUUCGGAUUCACUGGGCGUAAAGGGUGCGUAGGUGGUAAGGCAAGUCAGGUGUGAAAUCUCCGGGCUCAACCCGGAAAUGGCAUUCGAAACUACCUUGCUAGAGGGUUUGAGGGGGGGACUGGAAUACUUGGUGUAGCAGUGAAAUGCGUAGAUAUCAAGUGGAACACCAGUGGCGAAGGCGAGUCCCUGGAAAACUCCUGACACUGAGGCACGAAAGCUAGGGGAGCAA
rnacentral:rRNA from 1 species